GAGGGGUGGUGAGAAGGAAGCGAGGGGUGGUAGAUGGAGAAAGAGAAUGAGACGAGUGGCAAGAUGCAUCCUUGCCCCAUUCACUUGCUGCAUUCGGAAGAAUAAGGAAUGAAUAACAGACCAGCAGCACAUUGGACAGCGCACACACCAUGGAAAGGAAGCCGCCUAGAAGCAACAGAGCCCUUGUGCACAUGUUACCAGAUGAGGAACACAUCUGCACUGAUCGAUGACUGACUUAAUCUUAAAAGGAUUGGAUCAGUGAACAGCAGCCAAUCCGUUAGAUUGUUGUACGACAAUUGUAAGUUCAUAGAAUUGAACUUACAUCACGACCAUCCGUUAUAUUAUUCCCCCCCUUCAACUGCCAUUUGCCCUUACCCCGGUAUAUGAAUUUAAUCGAUGAUCUUUUCUAGCAGAGACGUUCUGUAGGCUAACAAUUCUACUAGGCAACUAUCAGUUUGCAAUUUAUAUAUAUCACAUUUUUAAAGAGUUGGAAUUCCAAAAUUUGCCCCUAUAUUGCAAACACCCUCCCCCCAAGUCCUAUGAUGAACCUGGGCUGACUAGAGCCCUGAUAGUGUUGUGUACCAGUUUGCUGGACUGGUUCCAGACUUGUAAAUUUAAAAUGUUUAGGUUCAAGUCAGAAAAACUUGAAUAUCUGGAACUGAUUUGGGACUUAUUAUUUAAAACAUGUCACAUUCCCUUUUUUGAUCCAAACCACCUGAAAUCUUUAAUAGAUCAAAGGUUUGCAAUGCAAAAUGAAGAAAACAUUGCCGUUGGGCAUCACCAAGUGUUGGCCUCUGUUACCGUGAAUUAGGUGGCCACAGUUUCGCCAAGUUGCGCCGCCCAAACAACUUUUUUCUUAAGUUAUCCAACCCCUGGUAGUGCAGUGCGUGCUACAAAAUUUUGCAGUGACAUGACACCAGGAAAUGUCUUGGAGUGGGACAGGAAAUUUUGCAGUGGCCACAGUUUUGCCAAGUUGCGCCGCCCAAACAACUUUUACUUCUUAAGUUAUCCAAACCCUGGUAGCGCAGUGCGUGCUACAAAAUUUUGCAGUAAAGCCUCAUUUUCCAUUGAGAAAUGUUCACUGAGGAGUCCCUUCCAUAUUUUGUAUAUGCCCUGGGUUUAGGUUCAGACUUAGGUCCAGACCUAAACUUAAACCUCUUGACUUGAAUCCAGACCUGAACCUAAACAUGGGUUUAGCACUAAUAUAGAGACAAGUAUUUUUAAAAUUUUUUUUUCAAGCUUCAUUCAAUAUACAGCAAAUUUUACAAACA